GUGAAAUUCAAUGGAAAAUUUUGAUAAGAUAAAUUACUAAAAUGUACGAGGGUAAUCAAUGUAAAAUAAAUAAAUAAAUAAACCCUAACGUACGAGGGUAACCAAUGUAAAACAAAUUGAAUUUAAAUUUACUCCCUGUUCACCCAUGACAAGUUUGCCUUGUCAUGGUGGUGCCCCAUUCGAGCCUUCGAGCUACUCGACUUGCCAUGAGACCUUCACCUGGUCGGACUCUCCUCUUGUCCAUGAUCCAGACAUCUUGCCACAUCAGUGAGUCUUACCCUAACUUCUCGUAUUUCUUUUACUAAAAUGUACGUUAGGGUAUAAUUACGUGAUUGUAAAGUUGCAGAUCUAAUUGAUGAAAGUAAGAGGAAGUGGAAGCAAGACUUGAUUGAGUCUACCUUUCCAAUGGAGAUAGCUGAGAGAAUCCUCUGCAUUCUGCUUGCUAAAGAGCCUCACAAAGAUUUUCCAGCCUAGAGGGGAGAGUCCUCGGGAGAGUUUACCCUGAGAAGAGCCUAUAAACUAUUACAGGGCAAUGAAAAUAAUCCUAGGGCUUAUGCCUUACAAACUGAAACUAGGAAUUUUUACAAAAAUAUCUGGCUCCUAAAUCUACCUUCGAAGAUAAAAAUUGCAAUUUGGCGAAUAGCCUGGAAUUAUAUUCCAACGUGGGUGAAUCUGCACUACAGAAGACUCCUAAGUCAAACAACAUGUUCUGGGUGUGGUAGAGCAGCAGAAACUACAAAUCACAUCUUUCGUGAGUGUCCUGUGGCAACGAAAGUAUGGGAAGAGUUAUCACUCUCGAAGAUUUUACAUGAACCCUAUAUGGAAUUUUUAAAGUGGCUUACCUGGGUUUUCGAACAGAAUAGUCCCAAUAUGCGUAGGGUAUUUUGUUGUGCUCUUUGGGCAAUCUGGGGAGAACGGAAUAAAAGAGUACAUGAGAAGGUUAGUAGAUCUGGGACAGAAAUUACAGGUUUUGUAUAGAGAUAUAUUUCAGAGCUCAAGGGGUUCGAAGAAAAAGCUCCAAAAAGUAUAAAAGAAGGUAGAAUGUGGAAACACCCACCUGGUGAGUUUGUAAAGAUUAACUUUGACGCAGCCUUUGAUGAGAAUGUUCGACAAUCGGCAGUGGGAAUUGUGGCCUGAGACAGUCAAGGAAACGCCCUUUUAUCUAGUACAGAGCUUCAUCACCAAGUAGCAUCAGCCUUUGCCGCAGAAGCAAUAGCUUGCAGGACAGCAACUCGCAUCAGUAUGAACAUGCAAUGGCCAAAUAUUAUUAUCGAAGGUGAUGCACUUUCAAUCAUUAAGAAAUGCAAAACACAAGAAAAUGACAGAUCAAGGGUUGGAGCAUAUAUUCGAGAUAUUCAUCAGUUACUAAUAAAAUCAAAAAGACACUAUUUUGAGCACACACCUAGAGAAGCAAAUAGUCUGGCUCAUAUGCUAGCAAGGGAGGCAUUAAAGAAAAAGGAAGAAAUUUACCUGAUUGGCAGAGUUUCGGAUUAUGCCAAGCGACUGAAGGAAGAUGAACGGAAGGGAGUACAAAGAAGCAGAUGAAAUGAAGGACACAAAUCUUAGAGGCUGAAAAAGGGGAAACCCAAAAGUUUGAAUGAAACAACCUCAUUGAUAUCCGGGAAACGUCUUACUGAAGAAAUGAAAAAUGGAUUUGAAAAGACGGGGAAGGAUUUAGUUCUGAUUGGGCAUGAUAGCGGUGCAUUUAAUAGGUUCUAGAGGUUUCUAUUUAAAGUUUUUUUAAGUUUUAAAAUUUAAAGUUAAUGGAAGAACGGUUUUAUGGGUUUUAAUUUGCUUUUCGGGCUUGAGUAAUAGGCCUUAGUAUAGGGUUCAUUUUAGUAUAGGACUUUUGUGAUGAUUUGCUUGAUUUUAGUAAUAAAGCCCAGUCAG
rnacentral:lncRNA from 1 species